CCGUGCUAGACGGGGAGGUAGCGGUUCCUUGUAACUCGCAGUCCGCUAGAGCGAGGUUUAAUUCCUUUGGUAAGGGUCGGGCAAUCGGAGCAGUCCGAGGUUUGGUGUGAUGAGUUUUUGGUCUUGCGCAACAAAGCGCUUUGAACCGUGUCAGGUCCUGACGGAAGCAGCACUAAGAAGUUUGUUUUGUGUGCCGCAAGGGAGCCGGAAAUGAGCAUUGGGCCGAGGGUAACGUCCGGGGGUUGCGAUUCGAGCCAAGGUGCACGG
rnacentral:SRP_RNA from 1 species